rnacentral:lncRNA from 1 species
AAUGUAGGGCUGGCACUGAACUUGAGUCUUCUGGAAAAGCCACAAGUGUUUUUAACCAUUAAGCUGUCACACUGGCCCUUGAUUUUUUUGAGACUCAGUCUUACUAUGUGGCCCAGGCUGGCCUGGAAGAAGGCCUCUUCAUUGUAUUUCCUACUCAGGAGUGCUGGGAUUAAGGGCACACACAAGACCCUGCUCAGUUUUGUUUUCAACAACAGCCUAUACCUAAGUUCAAAAUAUGGCUUAGGGACUGGAGAGGUUGCUCAGUGCUUAAGAGCCCUGGCUGCUUUUCCAGAGGGCUUGGGUUCAAUUCCCAGCACCCACAUGGUGGUCACAAUAGUCUGUAACUCCAGUUCCAAAAGACCUGAUGCUCUCUGCUGGCCACUGCAGGCACUGCAUACAACAGUGGUACACAUUCCUACAGGCAAAACACCCAUACCCAGAAAAUUAAGUAUAAAUAAAUAAAUCUCUUAAAAAAAUAAGGUUUUCAGAGUAACUGGUUUUUCUGUUGUUUAUUUCUUCACUUUUUCUUGAAACAGUUUCACUAUGUAGCCCAGGCUAGCCUGGAAUUCUAUAUCCUUUUACCCAGCAGACCCAGGGUUGGUAUGCAAUGUAUAUUAUACUCUAACUGGUCUAGCCUCAAACGACAAAUGAUACAAAGAAAACUAUGUGGUUAUGUGUAUCUAUAAGUGACUAAAAUUUGUUUACAUAUUAUACCAAAGCCAAUCAUUUAGAAUGAAAUACUAUAUUUAAUAUAAUAAGAAUAUUUUAUAUGCACAAUCUUUUAUGUGGAAAUUCUAUUCUGUAGAUUCCUCAGUAGUAUCCUGGCAAUUUCAACAGCAACAUCAGAGCCCAGCCAAUCCCUGUGCCAAGAUUGAGGACUCAAACAGCCUGUUCUCUGGCUUUCUUUUGUGUUUUGCAUGCUGUCGAGCUCUGGCUGGCCUCAAGCUCAUAGAGACUUGCCUACCUCUGCCUUCCCGGUACUGGGAUCAAAGGCAGUGAGAGCUAGGCCAUUUUCCCCUUGGAGAUGAUUCGUCAGGCACUGCCAUUCCAAAGGCUCACUAGCGCGGUACUGUACAGAGCUACAGUACUUGCAGAGACUCCUGUGCCUAGCUGCCUCUAGUCACGAGACUUCAGUGCCGUCCCUUGAAUUAUAUUCCGAAUCUUCUCUGCAUCGUUCUGUACAACUGUGUUGGCUGGGUCAAUCUUAAGUGCAGCUUCAUAAUCUUGCAAGCCUGUAUUGACAUAUCAAUAAUAAUCAAUAAAGCAAGUAUUUC